GACGAACGCUGGCGGCGUGCCUAGUACAUGCAAGUAGAACGCAGUUGCGAACGGGUGAGUAACGCGUAGGUAACUGCCUCAUAGCGGGGGAUAACUAUUGGAAACGAUAGCUAAUACCGCAUACUGUGAGAGGGACCUGCGUUGUAUUAGCUAGUUGGUGAGGUAAAGUCUCACCAAGGCGACGAUACAAAGCCGACCUGAGAGGUUGAUCGGCCCGACUGGGCCUGAGACACGUCCCAGACGCCCACGGGAGGCAGCAGUAGGGACUCUUCGGCAAUGGACGGACGUCUUAGCGUGCAACGCCGCGUGAGUGAGGGUGGUUUUCGGAUCGUGAGGCUCUGCUGUUGGGGCAGCGGUACCUACCCAGAAAGGGACGGCUAAACACGUGCCAGCAGCCGCGGUAAUUC
rnacentral:rRNA from 1 species